UUGGAAAGUCCGGUACGAAUUAAGAUAAUUUAUUAUUCUGUUUAAAUGGAAUAGAAUUUUAUUUAAAGAAAUUUGACAUCUUCUGGCGAAAUAGUUUGUUCUUAUCUUCGUACUUUUUUAGAUAAUAAAUAUUUAACAUAAUCCGGCUUAU
rnacentral:RNase_P_RNA from 1 species